rnacentral:rRNA from 1 species
UACGGAGGAUCCGAGCGUUAUCCGGAUUUAUUGGGUUUAAAGGGUGCGCAGGCGGGAGAUUAAGUCGGCGGUGAAAUUUUGCAGCUUAACUGUAAAAGUGCCAUCGAUACUGGUUUCCUUGAGUGUAGAUGAAGUAGGCGGAAUUUGUGGUGUAGCGGUGAAAUGCAUAGAUAUCACGAGGAACUCCGAUUGCGCAGGCAGCUUACUAAACUACUACUGACGCUCAGGCACGAAGGCGUGGGGAUCAAACAGGAUUAGAUACCCGGGUAGU